UACGGAGGGGGCUAGCGUUAUUCGGAAUUACUGGGCGUAAAGCGCACGUAGGCGGCUUUGUAAGUUAGAGGUGAAAGCCCAGGGCUCAACCCUGGAAUUGCCUUUAAUACUGUCGACCUUGAGUAUGGCAGAGGUGUGUGGAACUCCGAGUGUAGAGGUGAAAUUCGUAGAUAUUCGGAAGAACACCAGUGGCGAAGGCGACACACUGGGCCAUUACUGACGCUGAGGCGCGAAAGCGUGGGGAGCAAACAGG
rnacentral:rRNA from 1 species